GCCCGUAUAGCUCAGUGGUAGAGCGCAUCACUCGUAGGAAUUCACUUCCAUGGAUAUGAUGAGGUCGGUGUCCACGGUUCAAUCCCGUGUGGGGGGU